rnacentral:rRNA from 1 species
UGCAAGUCGAGCGGACAGAAGGGAGCUUGCUCCCGGAUGUUAGCGGCGGACGGGUGAGUAACACGUGGGUAACCUGCCUGUAAGACUGGGAUAACUCCGGGAAACCGGAGCUAAUACCGGAUAGUUCCUUGAACCGCAUGGUUCAAGGAUGAAAGACGGUUUCGGCUGUCACUUACAGAUGGACCCGCGGCGCAUUAGCUAGUUGGUGAGGUAACGGCUCACCAAGGCGACGAUGCGUAGCCGACCUGAGAGGGUGAUCGGCCACACUGGGACUGAGACACGGCCCAGACUCCUACGGGAGGCAGCAGUAGGGAAUCUUCCGCAAUGGACGAAAGUCUGACGGAGCAACGCCGCGUGAGUGAUGAAGGUUUUCGGAUCGUAAAGCUCUGUUGUUAGGGAAGAACAAGUGCAAGAGUAACUGCUUGCACCUUGACGGUACCUAACCAGAAAGCCACGGCUAACUACGUGCCAGCAGCCGCGGUAAUACGUAGGUGGCAAGCGUUGUCCGGAAUUAUUGGGCGUAAAGGGCUCGCAGGCGGUUUCUUAAGUCUGAUGUGAAAGCCCCCGGCUCAACCGGGGAGGGUCAUUGGAAACUGGGAAACUUGAGUGCAGAAGAGGAGAGUGGAAUUCCACGUGUAGCGGUGAAAUGCGUAGAGAUGUGGAGGAACACCAGUGGCGAAGGCGACUCUCUGGUCUGUAACUGACGCUGAGGAGCGAAAGCGUGGGGAGCGAACAGGAUUAGAUACCCUGGUAGUCCACGCCGUAAACGAUGAGUGCUAAGUGUUAGGGGGUUUCCGCCCCUUAGUGCUGCAGCUAACGCAUUAAGCACUCCGCCUGGGGAGUACGGUCGCAAGACUGAAACUCAAAGGAAUUGACGGGGGCCCGCACAAGCGGUGGAGCAUGUGGUUUAAUUCGAAGCAACGCGAAGAACCUUACCAGGUCUUGACAUCCUCUGACAACCCUAGAGAUAGGGCUUUCCCUUCGGGGACAGAGUGACAGGUGGUGCAUGGUUGUCGUCAGCUCGUGUCGUGAGAUGUUGGGUUAAGUCCCGCAACGAGCGCAACCCUUGAUCUUAGUUGCCAGCAUUCAGUUGGGCACUCUAAGGUGACUGCCGGUGAAAACCCGGAGGAAGGUGGGGAUGACGUCAAAUCAUCAUGCCCCU